UACGUAGGGGGCAAGCGUUUGUCCGGAAUUAUUGGGCGUAAAGAGCGUGUAGGCGGUCCGGUAAGUCAGCUGUGAAAGUCAAGGGCUCAACCCUUGAAUGCCGGUUGAUACUGUCGGGCUAGAGUCCGGAAGAGGCGAGUGGAAUUCCCGGUGUAGCGGUGGAAUGCGUAGAUAUCGGGAAGAACACCGGUGGCGAAGGCGGCUCGCUGGGCCAUUGCUGACGCUGAGGCGCGACAGCGUGGGGAGCAAACAGG
rnacentral:rRNA from 1 species